GGACUGCGAUGAAGCAAGAGGUUGCCGCAGUGCGGGGAAUUCUUGUGGAGAAUGUCCGGAUCUUAGAAUCGGGCGACGA
rfam:Caloramator quimbayensis strain TSBA 833 genome assembly, contig: Ga0105845_134